AGAAACAGUUCCCAAAUUGAGGUGUGGUGAGUUUAGGUGAGGUGUGGUGAGAACGGGUGUGAUGAGUUCAACUGUGGCGAGUUAAGAUUUGGCGGAUUUUGGUGUACCAGUAGGAGGUGUGGUGAGUUUAGGUGAGGUGUGGUGAGAACGGGUGUGAUGAGUUCAACUGUGGCGAGUUAAGAUUUGGCGGAUUUUGGUGUACCAGUAGGAGGUGUGGUGAGUUUAGGUGUGGUGGGUUUAAGUGAGGUGUGGUCAGUUUG